UUUGCUUUUGAAUUUGCUUUAAACCUGUACGACGAUCUACCCCAUUACGGGGGCAUGGAUGGAGUAGGCAUCCCCUCCACGAUGUAUGGGGACCCGCAUGCAGCCAGGUCCAUGCAGCCGGUCCACCACCUGAACCACGGGCCUCCUCUGCACUCGCAUCAGUACCCGCACACAGCUCAUACCAACGCCAUGGCCCCCAGCAUGGGCUCCUCUGUCAAUGACGCUUUAAAGAGAGAUAAAGAUGCCAUUUAUGGACACCCCCUCUUCCCUCUCUUAGCACUGAUUUUUGAGAAAUGUGAAUUAGCUACUUGUACCCCCCGCGAGCCGGGGGUGGCGGGCGGGGACGUCUGCUCGUCAGAGUCAUUCAAUGAAGAUAUAGCCGUGUUCGCCAAACAGAUUCGCGCAGAGAAACCUCUAUUUUCUUCUAAUCCAGAACUGGAUAACUUGAUGAUUCAAGCCAUACAAGUAUUAAGG
rnacentral:sRNA from 1 species